CUUGUCAAUGAUGUUUAUACCAUCCCAUAGCGUUUUGAAGUUGAUGAAACCACUUCACAUGCACUACCAUCUGAGACAGC
rnacentral:snoRNA from 1 species